AAUAUAAAUAGCUGCAAACUUAUUUGUACUAAGGUAGCAUAAUCAUUAGCUUUUUAAUUAAAAGAUAGAAUGAAAGGUUAAACGAAAUAUUUCCUGUCUCUAACAUUAACAACGAAAUUAAAAUAAAAGUAAAAAUUCUUUUAUAGACAAGAAGGACGACAAGACCCUGAUAAACUCAUUCAUUUUGCUGGGGCGGCAACAAAAAAAAACCUUAAUUUUCUAUAAUAUAAACACUCCUAUUAAAAACUAAUCAAGAUAUAGUUACUACAGGGAUAACAGCGCAAUCUUUUUUAAAAGAACACAUUCAAAAAAAGCUUUACGACCUCGAUGUUGAAUUAAUUUUUUCUUUUAAGAGCAAAAUCCUUAACAAGAAGGUC
rnacentral:rRNA from 1 species